UAUUCUCAUGAUUUUACUCAAAUUUUAAUACCCUUUCUUUUUGGUACCCGAGGACUUUAAGUGAUUCUCUUGCUUUUCGCUAAAUUUUCUUCCGUCUCCAAAUAGCCAGCUAUUGUUUGUAUUGCAAAAUUUCAAUUAGAAUUUUGUUUUCUCAUUAAUUUUCCAGAACACUUUUACAUUGAUUUUAAAGAACGAUAGUUUAGUUAUGUCUGGAAGAAAUCGUGGGCCACCGCCCAUUCCGAUGAAAGGGCCACCUCAUGCUGGAUUGCUGCCGCCGGUGCAUGAACAUCCUUAUGCUAGAGGCCUAGGACCAAUGCCACCACACCCAGCUUUACUGGAUGAAAUAAGAGAACCCCAAUUUGUGUUGGGUCCUAGAGGGUUUCCUCCUCAUCCAGCUAUCAUUGAGGAGCGUCUUGGAGUUCAACUGCAAGAAAUUCAAGCCCUCCUGGCGGAUAAUCAAAGGCUGGCAGCGACUCAUGUUGCGUUAAAGCAGGAAUUGGAGGCUGCUCAGCAUGAAUUAAAACAGAUGUCUCAUUAUGCAGAUUCGUUGAGGGCGGAGAAGGAUGUUCAGAUGAGAGAGAUGUACGAGAAGUCGGUUCGGUUGGAGGCUGAUCUUCGUGAACUGGAGGCUAUGCGAGCUGAGCUUGUUAAGGUUAAUGGUGAUAUAAAGCAGCUUAGUGCUGUGAAGCAGGAUCUAACGGGUCAGGUUCAGGUUAUGGGUCAAGAUUUGACAAGACUUACUGGGGAAUUGCAACGGGCUCCUGUUCUGAAGACUGAGAUUGAAAAUUUGAAGCAGGAAUUGCAACGUGCAAGAGCUGCCAUUGAAUAUGAGAAGAAAGGAUAUGCGGAAAAUUAUGAACAUGGUCAGGUGAUGGAGAAGAAAUUGAUCUCAAUGGCUCGGGAGUUGGAAAAGCUUCGUGCAGAAGUUGCUAAUGCAGAAAAGAGAACUCGCGCUGGUGGUGGCACUGGUGCUAAUCCUGCUGUAUCUGGUUAUAAUGCAAAUUAUGGAAACCCUGAAGCUGGAUAUACUGGAAAUACUUAUCAUGUCAACUAUGGCAUGAAUCCUGUUCAGGGUGGUGUGGAUGUUUAUCGUCAGUAUGGUCCUGCUUCUGGUUCCUGGGGUGCAUAUGACAUGCAGAGAGCUCAAGGACAUCGCUAGUUUGAUUUUCCAAAUCAUGCUAAGAUGAUUCAUCUGGUACUUCUGGGCAACUUAUUAGUUAUCUAGGCUUGGAUUUGAGCUAUUACAAUUUAUAAUAUGAUGGGUGUUCUGGAAUUGUACCUAAGAACAUUAUUUAUAUUUGCUUAAAAGUUGCAGUAUGCUGUUGUCUGCUUGAUAUUGUCUGGUGCAUAUAUUUUCUCAGUUGAUUUGUGAUGCAGCAUUUCAAUUUGAUACUUUUCUUUUCUUAGAUAUAUUAAUGAAAUUUGAGUUUCAUCAUUCAUUAUGUGGAGAAGACCUUGCCAUGCCUUUAUGAGGUAGAUGUUUGCUUUUGAAGAAUAGGAAUCAUUGGAUUCCUGUAAUACUGGCACAUAUGCUGCUGCUGCUGCUUCUUCUUCCUCUUCCAUUUCUCAUGGAAUAUGGGGUUGUUCAGUUGUGCUGCUUCUGUUUAUUUGCAGAAAAGUGACUACUCUUCAGUGUCUGACUUGAUUUAGCAAAAUAUUAAUAAAAUUUAGCCAGCUUUUCUAGCUUGUUUUUUCUUCUGUUUUCUCUUGGGUCUCUUCCAUUAAAGAUUAGUAUUACAUCUAAGCUGGCCUUUGUAGUUCAUUUGGUAGUUGUCUUUCCGUUGCUUUUUCACCUUAGUUUGGUAGCCUUGCUAUACUCAUGCACCUUUGCUUUGUUAAUUUCUCAUGGAGUUCCGUAAGAGGUUACAUCUAUAGAUUGUGCAAACUGGCAAGGGGUUUUAGUUUCAUCUGAUUGUACUAUGAAGAUUAAUCAUCAUUGCCUUUAUUAUCAGGUUCUUGGCCUAUUCUACUGCAAACUUAAGGUGAUGCAUGCGCUAUUACAGAAAAACGAAUUGAGAAAUGAAAAUGAACAGAUUUUCAGCUCAUUGAAUGACGUUUUACUUCUUUUUUCUAGAUAAUAUUUUCUGUUUUGGUUUUCUUUCUCUGGUUCCUGUGCCAUUGAUUUAUUCAUUUUAUGUUCUCUAGAGUUUUUCCGAUCAACGGGAAUACAAUAAAUUUCAUUUAUGCUAGACAUGCCUCUGGUGUUGGUUCCAUAGUUCCUGUUUGAGUAGGAUUAUAUUUCUGGGUCUUACUAGAUUAUUUCUAUUUAGUUUUUGUGUAUUAGGUGGAAGUGCUUACAUUUGUUAUCUAGUUUGAAGCUUAGUUUUGUCUAACCCUUGAGUUUAACUGAGAAUAAGAUGAUAGAAGAAUAUCCUAGCAACUUUUUCCUGCAAUUAAGAUUUGAUCGCAAGGUUGUCUGCAUCUUAUCCAUUUAUGCAAGAAGUAGCCUUAAAACAUUUUGCAAUAUUGUAUUGCUGCAUAUAUAUACAGGAACUCUAGGUUCUGUUGUGGAAAGAGUGGAGCCAAACUUUAGGAUUUACACUGAAAAGGAGCACUGUGUUGCUCCCAAUCCACAAUAUGCACAGCGUGGAUCAAUGAGGGGUGUGCGAAUAAUGUCAAAGUCAGAUAUGUUUGUUUAAUGUUGGCAGAUCUUCUGCUUUCCUAAGUCCAGCUUACAGAGGCUAUAUGCGAAGCCAACUAUAGAACUAGUGAGGGAUAUGAUGGCAACAGUCUUAUUUGGAAAAAUAUAUCCAUUGGUAGACUGAAUAGGGACAAAUAUACGUGCCUUGGGAAAUUCUAGGAUACAAGUAAGAGAAACUAGCUGACACCUGACAUUCCCUAUAAAUGUCAGAACAGGUAGCUUCCUUACUAGUUUUAUCUGGUUUCAACUGGCCUGGUUUUUAGUAUUUCUUUUACAAAGUCUGUCACCUUGGACACUAAAGCAGUUCUUCAGGACUGUGACCCCUUUUUUUUUGUGGAUCAUUGCUUCCUUUAUCAGAGAUUUUUAAAGGAGAGUAAGAUCAUACUUUGUCACAAUGGCUACCCUCUGGCCUCCAUUGCUUGGACCACUAUUGUAUCUGUACCACUUAUGCUUGACUAGCUUCUCUCAUCAUCUGAUGGUUUUUUUAACCCCCUUUGAUUUACAGCCUAUAUGAUGGCCCCCCCCCCAAAAAAAAAUAUAUAUAUAUAUUAUGAAUAUUUCUGGAAAGUUGUUCUCUGGAAUUUGCAUGAAACUGUAUGAAUACUACAUCCUGAGUAUAAAGAAAAACUGCCCUUGUUUUGAUAAAUAAGUAACAUCUUGUGUUGUAUUUUCAUUCUUUUCAAAUUUUACGAAAGAUGAGGAUGUACUUUUCAAAUUUUAUGAAAGAUGAGAAACAUCCUAGUACUUCUUCCUGAUACUUGACUUACUGUGAAGUUGAAAGCAGCAACUCAACAGAUUAUACAAACUCUUUUUUCAAUAUGUGAAAUUUUGUUUUUUUUUGCUUCUGACAUAUGUCUUCAGUUUUGAAUAUCUUACCUAUUGGAACCGGGAUCCAGAUCAUAAGAUUAGAUCCUGUUGAGAUGAGGCUAACAAAAGAACCAACUUCCAUUGAACUUAGUGUCAUGGGGGAUACUGGAAAUAAUAGGGUUAUUGGAUAGAUGAUUUAAGAAUGACAUGGCAAUAAAGCAGGUCAUAAAUAUGACGUUAGAAACUUUCUGGGACUUCCAAAUUUGUAGACUGUAUGUCAGCAUUCAGAUAGGAUUGCCAUUUUACGAUUGAGGGCAUAUGUGCUUUAGGAUUUCAUAGUAUGUAUUUGUCUCUCUAACAGUAAUAUAUUCUUUAUAUCUCUGGUUUCCUGGACUGGUUGUGUCCAUUAUCAUAAUGGCUUCACUCUUGAUUUAACAUCACAUCUAGUGUUGCCUCAUGGAGGCAUUGGUGCUGCCGCUGGUGUUGCAGCUUCUUCUCUUCUUCACCUUUAAAAUAAAAUUGCUGCCAUUUGUGUGUAUAUGCCAUUUAUCAUUAUUUCUGUUUUCUCCAUAAUUUGAGUAUUCAAUUUCCAUUGGUUAAACAUAAAAAAUGCCUAAUUGUCAAACAGAUGCUCUAUGACUAACUAAUUUUCUUUUUAAUAGUUUUUCCUAUUUCUUUCUCUUCCCUUUUCUUUCUUCCUUAUGCUUUCCAUUUGCCUUUUGGGUCUUAGAGCAAUGAUCUAAGACAAGUACUUGGCUAGUCUUUGAAUUUUGUUCCUUCUGUGACUACUAGUCUGUUUCUUUCUCAAUUCAUCAUAUUUGAAUAUUAAUUCAGCUGUGUCUUUUGCUGGAAUAAGUUAGCUAUUACUUGGUUUUAAGAGCUUAUUGGACUCUGUGGUCUUAGACAGAUUUAUAUGUUAUUUUAUGUUUAUGUGCAAUCUACUCCCUUUCUUCUCUCUCUUGUCUCUCUCUCAUGCUCCUACUGGUCUACUACAAUGAGAUGGAUUUUUGUCGAUUGCUCAUCUGAAGUAGAAGGCCAUUGUCUGUUACCGUAUGUAAAUCAUUGUUGUUGUUGCUGCGGGGACUGUUAAGUUGCUGAAAUGUAAACUGUUCAACAGUGAAGCAAAUUAUUGAGAAUAGAGGAGUUUGUCUUGGGUUGUAAAUACCUCAUCAAUGCCUUUAUUAUGUGCAAGUGAGGUCAAGAGAAACUUGAGCUUUGGUAAGAGAUACCAUCCAUGUCUUGUUUGAUUUGAAAAAAAUGUGACUAAGUGCUGGAAGAAGCUCGUUCAUUGCAUAGGUAUGCGACAUAUUGCCAAGACAUGGUCAUCAAUGAUGAUGCAAGAUGGUUUUUCUGGUCAAGUUUACAAACUUGUACCCAGAAAAUUGUCUGCUUCAGCAACUAUCCGUUGAUCUGAGUUCCAUGAGUUUAUAGCCCCUAUAGGCAAGCGGCUGACUCUGGAAGGCACCGGGGGAGCUCAGCAUAGGGAAGUGCUCGAUUGGAACCAGGGAGCUGCUGAACGCUGAGUUGAAGGCUCAGAUCUUACCUGGUAACGUGCCAUGGGUGGCACAUUGGUCCUCGAUGAAUAGAGACAGAACAGAGCAAUCUCAUUGCUUAUUCUUUGCCAGUUGCCACUCAUCUCAACAAAAUCACCUAAACUGUGGUUUUUACUGCCUAUGGGAAUAAAAAGCAUAUAUAUAUACAAGCUCAACUAUAACUUUACAUGUACUUUCUGAUCUUCAAUAGCUUAUUCAGGGCUUCUUGUUUACAUCUUAUAAAAAAUUGGGUCCUGUUCUUUGAUACUCAUACAUUAACACCAUUUUUGAAGCACCGGAUUUGCUCUUUAAUCUCCAAUGAUUCUAGCUGUUGGUGCAGAGAAUACAGAUCAACUUAUGACUCGUAAUAGCUUAGAUCUGGGGAAAUAAAAACCACUAUUUUAGUAGUUUCUUAAAAAAAAAAGUUCUAGGUCCUAAAGUAGAAGUCAUACCAUGAUAUUCUUUAGCAACUUAGACCAUUUUAUUAUAUUUGUAUUAUAUAAUGUAAUUUAUAAUAUACGUACUAAAUUGUAAAAUGCAAUAAACCUAAAA